GACGAACGCUGGCGGCGUGCCUAAUACAUGCGAGUCGAACGCUUCUUUCCUCCCGAGUGCUUGCACUCAAUUGGAAAGAGGAGUGGCGGACGGGUGAGUAACACGUGGGUAACCUACCCAUCAGAGGGGGAUAACACUUGGAAACAGGUGCUAAUACCGCAUAACAGUUUAUGCCGCAUGGCAUAAGAGUGAAAGGCGCUUUCGGGUGUCGUUGAUGGAUGGACCCGCGGUGCAUUAGCUAGUUGGUGAGGUAACGGCUCACCAAGGCCACGAUGCAUAGCCGACCUGUGAGGGUGAUCGGCCACACUGGGACUGAGACACGGCCCAGACUCCUACGGGGGGCAGCAGUAGGGAAUCUUCGGCAAUGGACGAAAGUCUGACCGAGCAACGCCGCGUGAGUGAAGAAGGUUUUCGGAUCGUAAAACUCUGUUGUUAGAGAAGAACAAGGACGUUAGUAACUGAACGUCCCCUGACGGUAUCUAACCAGAAAGCCACGGCUAACUACGUG
rnacentral:rRNA from 1 species